GCGCGAGUGGCGGAAUCAGGUAGACGCGCCAGAUUUAGGUUCUGGUGUCUUCGGACGUGGGGGUUCAAUUCCCCCCUCGCGCACCG
rnacentral:tRNA from 1 species